rnacentral:misc_RNA from 1 species
UUGAACCAUUCCCACCGAGCAAACCGAAAGGUCUCAGCCAUCGACCUGCCCCUUAUCGGCGGUGUGAGGCGCCCCGGUCACUUCCAAGAAAUAGCGCUCAAGGCUAACCCUGCCGGGCGACAUCUCCGUAACCCAAACGUCGUGCUGAGCCAGCGCUUUAGUGAGCUCGCCCGACCGGCCUGGCGGCGCUUCCGCCACGAUGUACCCGUCCUCCACUCGCACUCCGCCGAUCCAGUCCACGGUGGUCAGGAUCCGUUCCGCUGCUGCGUCGUUGGUUGUCUUAAUGCGGACUU